AUGGCGGAACUGGUCAAGAACCCAAAGGUGAUGCGUCGAGCCACAAUGGAGGUGCGGCGAGCCUUCGAGGCCGGCGGCAAGGUGGUCGAGCAGCAGCUCGGCGAACUCGUCCCGUACCUGCACCUCGUCAUCCGGGAGACUCUACAGCUGCACACGCCGCCGCUGCUGCUCCCCCGGGAGUGCCGAGAGGAGCCGGCGUGCAGGGUGCUCGGCUACGACGUGCCCAAGGGCACGCAGGUGCUGGUCAACGCCUGGGCGCUGGGCCGCGACGAGCGGUACUGGCCUGAUAAGCCUGAGGAGUUCCGUCCGGAGCGCUUCGAGCCCGCCGGCGACGGUAAAGACGGCGCGGCGGUGGAGGUGGACUUCAAGGGCGUGGACUUCGAGUUCCUGCCGUUUGGUGCCGGGAGGAGGAUGUGCCCCGGAAUGGCGUUCGGGCUCGCCAACGUGGAGCUCGCGCUCGCCAGCUUGCUGCUACACUUCGACUGGGAAGCGCCCGGCCCCAACGGGUCGCUCGACAUGACCGAGGCGUUUGGCAUCACCGCACGGCGGAAGGCCGGCCUCCUGCUCCGCCCCAUCAUGCGCUUGCCUGUCCCGGACAACUUAACUAGUUGA
rnacentral:rRNA from 1 species